GGUUCUGGACGGCCCACCGCAGAGCCUGGAUCUCCAGCUCCCGUUGGCCCCACAGUAGCCGCAAGGUUGACGGAGAAGACCCCCUGUGUAGAGCUGGGCUUGGCGUCCUGUGCGCAUGUGGGACCCCCCGGCUCCGGAGGUGCGCCCACGGGAGGCUCCAGCUUCAGAGCAGCCUUCUCCCCCAUCAGGACCGCCGGGCUGGCGGCAGCCAGAGAGGGCCCG